rnacentral:rRNA from 1 species
CUGCCAGACUCCUACGGGAGGCAGCAGUGGGGAAUAUUGCACAAUGGGGGAAACUCUGAUGCAGCGACGCCGCGUGAGGGAAGACGGUCUUCGGAUUGUAAACCUCUGUCUUUGGGGAAGAAAAUGACGGUACCCAAAGAGGAAGCUCCGGCUAAAUACGUGCCAGCAGCCGCGGUAAUACGUAUGGUGCAAGCGUUAUCCGGAUUUACUGGGUGUAAAGGGAGCGCAGGCGGCACGGCAAGCCUGAUGUGAAAGCCCGCGGCCCAACCGCGGGACUGCAUUGGGAACUACCGGGCUGGAGUGCCGGAGAGGUAGGCGGAAUUCCUAGUGUAGCGGUGAAAUGCGUAGAUAUUAGGAGGAACACCAGUGGCGAAGGCGGCCUACUGGACGGUGACUGACGCUGAGGCUCGAAAGCGUGGGGAGCAAACAGGAUUAGAUACCCGAGUAUGG